rnacentral:lncRNA from 1 species
AGAGUUCAUUCCUGCUGCAGAGUUGUCCUUGGCUAGAAAGAUACCAUUGGUCACUCUCUGUUAUUGCUGCUGCUUUUCUCCUCCCAUAUCCACUGGGGUAUCUAAAAACCUCUGGACUGUGGGUCAAGAGACUGGGUGGGAGACAGGUUCCAAUGCUCAUAGUCAUGUGUUCAUGGACAAGGCAGUUUCCAUCUCCCAGCUCUGCUUCCUUAACAGUGAAGUGGAGACAGCCAUGUUUAUUCUUCCUACACAGCUCCUGACAGAUCCCAGCAACUUACAGAUGAAAGCAAGUGACCUUUCCUCAUUACUGUGAUGAAGUCUCCACCCCUGAGGAGCUAGAGUUUCAUCACCAUGAUGUGCGACCUAUGCACCGGCAUGAUGACUCACUACACGCACCACUGAGACCCCUCUUCUACAUGUGAUGAUGCACCCUCUCCCCUCUCCAUCACUCCAUAAAACCCUCCCAUCACUUUCCCUAGGGGAGAGACUGCUUUGAAGAAUGCUCCCAGUGUCCUCCUUACUUGAGCCAAGUAAUAAACCUCCUAUUAAUAAAAACCUG